UCCUAAACUGAGGACGAGUCGCGACAGGUUUGGGAACUGACACGGUCCAUCCCGCCCCGGACGCCGGCCUGAGGGUCCAGCGAUCACUCACCGCGCAGUGGCAGAGGUGGCAGCGGCAGCAGAUGCAGCGCUCCGGGCGGGCCCGGCCAUCCAGCUGCAGUGUCGCGCCCCGCCCCGCUCUGCCUCGCCCGGCCCCACCACUAGGCCCCCAGCCCGGAGCCACCCCCGGCGUGCAGCCACGUCACACGGGACAGUCCGGAACCCGACGCGCGCGGCUCCGGGGGGCUAGACGGAGCGACGGCGGGGGAGGCGCUUCCGCCUCAUACCAUGGGGGACCCGCGCGGUCAGCGCACUUCCGCUCGGGGCGGAUUCUGGGGCUGCGGGGAGAGUAGGACGGAAGUGGGUACCCUCGUGGGCAUCGCGUUUAGCCAAGUUAAGCUAGGGUGAGGGCGGCACCCACGCGGGAACCGGGAUCAACAGGGCGGCGGGGCUUCAGUGUGGCGUCCUUCUGAGGAUGCAGUUCCAGCAGUGGCCACACGGGGGCGCGCACGGCUGCCAAACCGCUCCGUCCCGGGACGAGAGCAGGGCUAUGGCUCUCUGAGUCAGCAGGCCUGGCUCCUCCAUGAGCUAGGGAAAGGGGAAGUGCCUGCCGCAAGGAGGGGCCUGGCUCUGGGUACCUCAGAAGAGGGAAUUUUAUUCUUACUCAUCGAAUUAUUUUUAUGCUUUGGUUUUUCACUUGGAACCUCAGGCCACCGUCUCCAGGACUGUAACCCUUUGAAGUCCAGUACACGUUUCUAGAGCCUGUGCCCUGGAAUUUCAAGCCAGGAUACAACAAAGGACUUGGUGUUCUCUUACCCUGACAAAGCUGUACCUGAACUCUUAGACCGAAGGAGCAGUUAGUGGCAAUAACAAUGGCUACAGUUCUCUGAUCUAGGGUAGCCCUUUACUGACCAUUUACUCAGUAAUCAGUGUUAACUUUACCAAAUCGUUUUUAUCUUUCAGGUGGGUACUGACUGUUGACCUAGGGUCAGACAUAUGUCACACAUAUGGCAGAGGCGGAAUUCAACUUGGAUGUACCUCUCCCUAGGGCGUGCGAUGGCCACCUCAUGUCUAAGCUGGAGCUAAGGUGUGGAUGUGGCCUAACACCCCCCACUCCUUUGCGAUCCGAUACAUGUUUGCAUCCUUCUCUGGGAAUCAGCCAGUAACUGACAUGGAAGACAUUCAGCAGAGGCCGAAUGAGUGCUCCCCUGGGCUGGCUGUGACAGAGUGAGGGGCUCAUUAGUCCUCACCUACCAUUGCGGCUCUCUAUGGUCCCUUGUUCCUUCUGGGCGCUCCGAGAGCAGACCGAACUCACACAUCACAGUUGAUGCCCUACCUCACAGUGUGUGUUUGUGUGUGUGGUUGUUGUUGUUGUUGUCGUUUUACUUUGAGAUUGGUUCUAUGUAGCCCUAACCCCCUGCCUGUUCUGGAACUUUCUAUGUAGAUGUGGCUGACUUUGAACCUACAGAGAUCUGCCUACUUCUACCUCCUCAGUGCUAGAAUUAAAUACGUGUGCCACC
rnacentral:lncRNA from 1 species